AUGAGCAUUGUAUUGGUUCCAAACACUGGUAAUUACAACAAUACCACGUUUCAAAGGCAAUAAAACUUUGCGUUAUAUUUUGAAGUAUUGAUAAAACUAUGUUUACCACUCUUUAAUUUACAUUUUAAAUAUAUGGCUAACAUGCCUAACUUGCAAAUUUUGUACAUAUUACAAUAAAACAUUCCGCUGUAAUUCUUGAACACAAUUUUGCUCUCUAAUACAACCUUAUAGACUGCAUACCUUCCAUUUAUUCUUGUCGAAAUGUGGCCUUGGUUAUAUACACGCAUAUAUUUGACACUUAUAAAUACAGCUAUACGAUUGUUUACAAACAUGUCACGAGUGCAUUUAGUACAAUGUUUUUCAUAAGAAAAACAACAGUACUUAGAUGAAAAUGUUAAAAUUUCUUAGAUAUUGUAAUUGUUUCCAUUCAGUUUCAUAGAUUUCUUUGGAUUUCUGAAUUUGAUGCACAACAUGAAAUUGUUUACAUAUUACGGUUGUAAAAUCCAAUCUGCUCCGUUUAUCGAUUUUUACAACGCACGCGUACAGAUAGUUUGCAUUUUUGAAGUCAUUAAAAUAGGGCGAAAUGUAAGAAGCAAUUUAUUUUUAAAUCACUUACUGUUCUCCAAGCCCUCGCAAGUCCAUUUUGGCAAUAAAACUUUGAAGCAAAGUGUGCUGCGGAAAGUGAAAGUAAAAGAUCAUGUGAACGAGCAAGUCAUUUCUCACACCACGUUGAUUAUAUCUGCGAAAGGCGAUUACGGCUGAGAAUCACAUUGAAGCUUUUUCCUCUGCCUGUCUGUUUCGGAAAAACAUUCACUCCAACAUGAGACAAUGAUCUUUGGAGCUAUUUUCGUCCGGUGUUUGCUCAAGAAAAUGCGAUAAUAUUCUCAAAUGGACUCUGUAUCACAGGGCUGCGAGUUUAAGAAAUCCAGAAAUGGACGCAGAUGUACACAAAAAACUCAGCGCAAGUUGAUUCCUAGUUAGAUAAUAUAGUUAGAGAAGGAACAUUAGCAGCUUGAUGCGUGCUAACAAAUCUAGUCAAAAGGGCAACAUCACCAUUCAAAUCAUCAGUAUAUUGUUAAAACUACAUUACUGUAGUCAGUGUGUGUAACAUGCGGAGAAAUUUGAAGAUUUUUCUGAUAUUAGCGAUAACAUGGAUACUGGUAGCUGUUUACUACUUCGAAGGAAGCUACAAAAGUCGAAACCGAGCGUUGCGAUUGCGCGACCAUCAAACAUCUGCCGUGACUCCACAAUCAUUAUCCGCGGAAUGGCCACAGCAUUCGUAUAGUCCGUCAACCUCACCUAGACAAAAUGUUGUCUCGAACACACUGUUGCACAUGUCCUCACCCCGGCACACAUGGGACUAUUUCGACGAGAUGGGAUACAUACAGAAAGGCAGCCUACAGCAAGGAGAGGAUCCAUAUUUGCGCAAUCGUUUCAACCAACAAGCAAGUGAUAGUUUGAAAAGCAAUCGAGAACUUCCCGACACACGGAAUCCUAUGUGUCGAAAGAAAUGGCCUAGUAACCUACCACCUACCAGUGUGAUUAUAACCUUCCAUAAUGAAGCACGAAGCACCCUUCUGCGAACGAUUGUAAGUGUCUUGAAUCGAUCUCCAGAGCACUUGAUACACGAGAUUAUUCUAGUAGAUGACUAUUCGGACUUCCCCGAAGAUGGACAGGAGUUGGCGAAAAUUCAUAAAGUUAAAGUGAUUAGAAAUGAGCAACGUGAAGGCUUGGUGCGGUCGCGUGUGAGAGGCGCAGACGCGGCAACUGCAUCCGUCUUAACGUUUCUCGAUAGUCAUUGUGAGUGCAAUGUAGAUUGGUUAGAACCGUUGUUGAUUAGAGUAAAAGAAGACCCUACUCGCGUAGUGUGUCCUGUGAUCGAUGUUAUUAGUAUGGAUACCUUCCAGUACAUAGGUGCUUCAGCAGAUCUUCGAGGUGGGUUUGAUUGGAAUUUAGUAUUUAAAUGGGAAUACCUGAGCACCGCAGAAAGGCAUGAGCGCCAGAAGGAUCCAACCACUCCCAUCAGAACACCAAUGAUUGCUGGUGGAUUGUUUGUGAUAGAUAAGGUAUACUUUGAAAAGUUGGGAAAAUAUGAUACUCAGAUGGACAUAUGGGGUGGUGAAAAUCUAGAAAUCAGUUUUCGCGUCUGGCAAUGUGGUGGUAGUCUGGAGAUUAUUCCAUGCAGUAGGGUUGGCCACGUGUUUCGUAAAAGACAUCCGUAUACCUUUCCUGGGGGUGGCAGUGGAAAUAUCUUUGCCAAAAACACAAGACGUGCUGCUGAAGUAUGGAUGGAUGACUAUAAACAGUAUUACUAUGCUGCAGUUCCCUUGGCAAAGAAUAUCCCGUUUGGAGAUAUUGAAGAACGAAUGGAACUGAAAGAAAGGCUCCAAUGUAAACCCUUUAAAUGGUACUUGGCAAACGUAUACCCUCAGCUUACAAUACCAGAACAGCAAACCAAAGGAAGCUUACGGCAAGGGCCCUAUUGCAUGGAUACAUUGGGCCAUUUGGUUGAUGGGAUUGUUGGGCUUUAUCAGUGUCACGAUAGUGGUGGUAACCAAGAUUGGGCUAUUACCAAAAAAGGACAAAUCAAGCAUCUGGAUCUAUGUCUAACGUUAUUAAAUUUUGCUGUGCGAUCGCGCUUCAACAUGGUUGUUUUAAAGUACUGUGAUGAGUCUGCGAAUCAGCAGUGGCACAAAAGAGAGGGCGGACUGGUCCAACAUAGUAAGAUAAAUGUUUGUCUAGACUCGCGUUAUGUAAAGGAGAAAGGCAUCACUGCAGAGCGAUGCAACUCUGCUCUUGAGUCGCAACAUUGGAGGUUUUCCACCAAGUGAGACUAGCAGAAAUAGCAACCAAAAACGACUAUAAACCGGUACAACAAACUCCCCUUGGAUGUGUUUCUUAUUAUUGUUCAGCUACUGAGAGUUAAGGAAGUAUAGAAUUAAUUAUGACAGUGAAGAAGCUAGCUAUAAAUACUUAAUGAUCAAUUAAAAUAUAUAAAAGAGUGCUUCAAAGCGCAACGAUAGCAUCGUGAUUGUACAUUCCAAGUAAUGAUUAGUUUUUACUACCAUCCAUAAUAAAAGUCUUUGAGAGAAUUGUAA